GUUGACCUCGGAUCAGGUAGGCAUACCCGCUGAACUUAAGCAUAUCAAUAAGCGGAGGAAAAGAAACCAACAGGGAUUUGCCCCAGUA
rnacentral:rRNA from 1 species